rnacentral:lncRNA from 1 species
GUGGGUUAGGUUAGAGGCAAUGAUUAUUGGCAGAGUUUUCUCAGGUCCUAAAAAUACAUACUUGAGUGAUUCAGGCAAAAGUUUCAGUUCAAAUUGUGGUGGGGCCUGGAUUGAAGGACGUAGUGGUUCAGAUUUUAACUUAGGUAAAGGCUCAAUUUUCAUUGACCAAGGUAGUGAUUGUGUUAAAUGAGGUGAAUCAAGCAAGGCAUUCACCUCAU